rnacentral:rRNA from 1 species
GACGAACGCUGGCGGCGUGCUUAACACAUGCAAGUCGAACGGAAAGGCCCUGCUUUUGUGGGGUGCUCGAGUGGCGAACGGGUGAGUAACACGUGAGUAACCUGCCCUUGACUUUGGGAUAACUUCAGGAAACUGGGGCUAAUACCGGAUAGGAGCUCCUGCUGCAUGGUGGGGGUUGGAAAGUUUCGGCGGUUGGGGAUGGACUCGCGGCUUAUCAGCUUGUUGGUGGGGUAGUGGCUUACCAAGGCUUUGACGGGUAGCCGGCCUGAGAGGGUGACCGGCCACAGUGGGACUGAGAUACGGCCCAGACUCCUACGGGAGGCAGCAGUGGGGAGUAUUGCACAAUGGGCGGAAGCCUGAUGCAGCAACGCCGCGUGCGGGAUGACGGCCUUCGGGUUGUAAACCGCUUUCGCCUGUGACGAAGCGUGAGUGACGGUAAUGGGUAAAGAAGCACCGGCUAACUACGUG